UUUAUGAUGAAUGCGCUAACUUCAGUCAAUCAACCAACUCAUCGGAGUCCACUGCGUAUCAACUGAGUCCGCUAAAUUGAGUCAACCGGCGGUGUCUUUGUGUGCUCAUCAUCGGCCAGCCAGAAGAAUUGUCACAUCCUUUUCAGUAUCAUAAACUGAGAUGAUUCAAGAGCUCAUAAGAUUGUUUGACUUCUCCUUUUUUUCCCCAACAGUCUGUUCAGAGAAGUGUCUUGAAAGGAAAAGAUGCUCAAUUCAAACUGAAGACUGAAAGGUUUGACCAACAACAACUUCAGCCUCCUGGAAACAGCCCGAGUGACAGUCAACAACAAAUCCGACACUGACUGCACCGACGUGUGUAGCUAAUUUGAGUCCACCACCGCAACAGCGGGGGAACCACACCAAGAUGCGGCGCCACGCAUGAGGCAAAGGGGCAAAAAUCCCAACCUCCAAAGUAUUUCUUUCCUUCCCGUCCAAUCUCAUUUGGACCCGACAGGAUGGGAUGUUCCACAAGCUCCCAGACUUCAGCGAUGGACUCGACCAAACCUGGAGUCAAAACAGAUGAGAGCAAUGGAACCAGCAGCCCAGCAUCAGCUCAAGCAGAAGCCGCCGAUUUGACGGAACCAAAACGAGAAACAGAAGAGGCACCAGCUUCAAUCGACUGACAUUGGCCACCAGACUGUCCACAUCCUGUCCAAUGCCAAGAUGGAGAAGCUGUGACAUCAUCACCGUGUGCCUUGCCGCCCUUUUCGCAAUAGCACUUCAUGAUCCAUUCGAGAGAGCACUUUGCAUCGCCUCCGACACCACAGCCAAAAUGCCAAAAGUCAUGAAUCGAUAUGUACGCUCGGACCGAGAAACUGAGUCACAAAUGUUGUUGGCCCGCUUCAUUGGAGAAAGAGACGCCUCUCUGAAAUAAAAGUUGAAAAAAAAGUUCCGGGAUGACUGCUGCACCAUGCGCUGACUGUAACGGUUUACCGUACUUUUUUUUUUUUUUUUACAUUUAAACAAUUUGCAGAAAUACAACAGGUCAAACAACCAUUUAUUUGAUUGAAUAUGAUAUCCUGCGGCAUUGUUUACAGUAAUUCAUCUUAAAUCCAAUGACAAUCAAUUCCUGUCAAUUUCUUUCUCUUUAACCUUUCCGUGUACAGUUGCUAGAAAGUUCUGAGGCAUUUUUGAAACCCGUUAUUUUAAAUGGCAUUAAGAGCGAUCGACAAAGUGUAAUAAAAUGGCCGGAAUCAAAACACUUCUUGCCCAGGUUCUUUUAUUAACAUUGCACCACAGUCCAAACAACUGGCAAAUUAAGUGCUUUCUUCCAUUACGUGGGGUUUUCGAUUAAAAGGCCAGUGUUGAAAGUAGUUCAGCGAGCUCAGAGACCGAGUGAAAAAAUCAGGAGCCAUACCACGUGAGUUGUUGGAA